rnacentral:tmRNA from 1 species
AUACUUUAAUUUAUGCCAGAAUCACCCUAUAUUGAAAGGGCUGGUUGACCAGCUAUGGCGAUAAACGGCCUGUGAAAUAAGCGAUGCGGACCCGGGGGCGGUACCCGGCGCCUCCACCAAAUUUUUUCCUUAGAUUUAAAGGACACCUUGGGGGCGAAAUAGGAUCGACGCGCGUGUAAAGACUGGUUUUUUGCCCGGCAUUGUACCGCCGUUAUCGGGCUAAUUUACAAAUGCCAAUGAUAAUGAUUUGGCCCUUGCUGCCUAAAUACAGGUAAGCGCGGUCCGGGGGGUACCGGGCAACAGGAUCCCCCCACU